AAUUGGUAUGACCUUUCUGAAUGGUUUUUAAUGAACACAUUAUGUUACUGUUGGUAGUUGAAUUGUGUAGAUUUUUAGUUGAUUUAUUAUCAAUUAGUGUAUUUAAUUUUUUAAAAUAGAGUACUUCUAUUGGGUUACAAAAUUACUAAAGUUGGAAUAUAAAAAUUACCCAUCACCAUUUGAUUGUUACCAAGAUUAGUAUUAACUGUACUGACAUCCCUAUUGGAACAUCAUUGUUUUUGAUUAUUUUUGUAAUUCGGUUA